rnacentral:misc_RNA from 1 species
AAAAAAAAAAAGAUGUGAAGUUUUAAAAUGAUUGAAAUAAAAUAGUGUGUCUCUACCAUUUUCAAUUGUUUUAGGAAUAAACGGCGCUUGAGUUGAAACAAUGCAAGGAUGAGUGAUCAAUUGAAAGCUAUCAACACUUAGGUGUAAUGGAAAUUCAAUAUAGAUUUUAUUUAUUUUUAAUUAGUAGAUUUAUGUAUUCUUAAUUAGUAUGGGA